rnacentral:rRNA from 1 species
UGCCAGCCGCCGCGGUAAUACGGAGGGUGCGAGCGUUAAUCGGAAUCACAGGGCGUAAAGCGUACGUAGGUGGCAAAGUCAGUCAGGCGUGAAAGCCCUCGGCUCAACCGAGGAAUUGCGUUUGAUACUACUUUGCUAGAGUCUCGGAGAGGUUGGCGGAAUUCCAAGUGUAGGAGUGAAAUCCGUAGAUAUUCGGAGGAACACCAGUGGCGAAGGCGACUCACUGGCACAUUUCUGACGCUGAGGCGCGAAAGCGUGGGGAGCAAACAGGAUUAGAUA